UACGUAGGGUGCAAGCGUUGUCCGGAAUUAUUGGGCGUAAAGAGCUCGUAGGCGGUUUGUUGCGUCGGCUGUGAAAUCCCGAGGCUCAACCUCGGGUCUGCAGUCGAUACGAGCAAACUAGAGUGUUGCAGGGGAGACUGGAAUUCCUGGUGUAGCGGUGAAAUGCGCAGAUAUCAGGAAGAACACCAAUGGCGAAGGCGGCACUCUGGGCCGGUACUGACGCUGAGGAGCGAAAGCGUGGGGAGCAAACAGG
rnacentral:rRNA from 1 species